rnacentral:ncRNA from 1 species
UGUUAAAGUGAAUAAGUUCAACUAAGCACGGGUAAAUAACAUGAGUAACUAUGACUCUCUUAAGGUAGCCAAAUGAAUCACCAUCUAAUUAGUGACACACAUGAAUGGAUUUACUAGAUUCCCACUAUCCCUAUCUACUAUCUAGCGAAACCAUAACCAAGGGAAUGGGCUUGGCAUAAUCAACAGGGAAAUAAGACCUUGUUGAGAUUGCCUCUAGUUUGACUUUGUGAAAUGAAUUAAGAGUUGUAGAAUAAGUGGGAAUAAUUUUCGGCACAAAUGAAAUACCACUACUUUUAACAUUAUUUUACUUAUAAUUUUGUGGGGCGAAGACGGGGCAGUUACCCUAUUUUUGGCCUUAAGUCAUGUUUCGAUGGGUCGAUCUAGGUGUAAGACAUUGCCAGGUGGGGAUUUUGGAUGGGGAAACACAUCUAUUAAAAGAUAACAUAAAAUAUAAUUGGUGUAGAUAGAACAUUUGUAUUUGGGAGAUCUGUUGACGGGCGAACUUGUCCGUCCGUCAAUUGAGAGAGUGGAACCGGUCCGGGGUUGUCUAAAUAACCCAAGCCGUUUGGAAUGAACCACCCUGACGAGUUUAACGGCUCCGUUGGCCGCUC